rnacentral:rRNA from 1 species
GACGAACGCUGGCGGCGUGCUUAACACAUGCCAGUCGAACGGAAAGGCCCUGCUGUUGUGGGGUGCUCGAGUGGCGAACGGGUGAGUAACACGUGAGUAGCCUGCCCUUGACUUUGGGAUAACUUCAGGAAAAUGGGGCUAAUACCGGAUAGGAGCUCCUGCUGCAUGGUGGGGGUUGGAAAGUUUCGGCGGUUGGGGAUGGACUCGCGGCUUAUCAGCUUGUUGGUGGGGUAGUGGCAUACCAAGGCUUUGACGGGUAGCCGGCCUGAGAGGGUGACCGGCCACAUUGGGACUGCGAUACGGCGCAGACUGCUACGGGAGGCAGCAGUGGGGAAUAUGGCACAAUGGGCGGAAGCCUGAUGCAGCAACGCCGCGGGCGGGAUGACGGCCUUCGGGUUGUAAACCGCUUACGCCUGUGACGAAGCGUGAGUGACGGUAACGGGUAAAGAAGCACCGGCUAACUACGUG